rnacentral:rRNA from 1 species
UAAUACGGAGGGUGCAAGCGUUAAUCGGAAUUACUGGGCGUAAAGCGAGUGUAGGUGGCCGCAUAAGUCGGAUGUGAAAGCCCUGGGCUUAACCUGGGAAUGGCAUUCGAUACUGUGUGGCUAGAGUCUGAUAGAGGGAAGUGGAAUUCCAGGUGUAGCGGUGAAAUGCGUAGAUAUCUGGAGGAACAUCAGUGGCGAAGGCGGCUUCCUGGAUCAAGACUGACACUGAGGCUCGAAAGCGUGGGGAGCAAACAGGAUUAGAUACCCUGGUAGUCCACGCCCUAAACUAUGUCAACUAGACGUUGGGUUCUUUAAUGAACUUAGUGUCGAAGCUAACGCGUUAAGUUGACCGCCUGGGGAGUACGGCCGCAAGGUUG